rnacentral:rRNA from 1 species
UGGGGAAUUUUGGACAAUGGGCGAAAGCCUGAUCCAGCAAUGCCGCGUGUGUGAAGAAGGCCUUCGGGUUGUAAAGCACUUUUGUCCGGAAAGAAAUCCUUGGCUCUAAUACAGUCGGGGGAUGACGGUACCGGAAGAAUAAGCACCGGCUAACUACGUGCCAGCAGCCGCGGUAAUACGUAGGGUGCAAGCGUUAAUCGGAAUUACUGGGCGUAAAGCGUGCGCAGGCGGUUUGCUAAGACCGAUGUGAAAUCCCCGGGCUCAACCUGGGAACUGCAUUGGUGACUGGCAGGCUAGAGUAUGGCAGAGGGGGGUAGAAUUCCACGUGUAGCAGUGAAAUGCGUAGAGAUGUGGAGGAAUACCGAUGGCGAAGGCAGCCCCCUGGCCAAGUACUGACGCUCAUGCACGAAAGCGUGGGGAGCAAACAGGAUUAGAUACCCUGGUAGUCCACGCCCUAAACGAUGUCAACUAGUUGUUGGGGAUUCAUUUCCUUAGUAACGUAGCUAACGCGUGAAGUUGACCGCCUGGGGAGUACGGUCGCAAGAUUAAAACUCAAAGGAAUUGACGGGGUCAUAGCUGUUUCC